rnacentral:rRNA from 1 species
AGUGAACGCUGGCGGUAGGCCUGACACAUGCAAGUCGAACGGUAGCACAGUAAGAGCUUGCUCUUACGGGUGGCGAGUGGCGGACGGGUGAGGAAUACAUCGGAAUCUACUUUUUCGUGGGGGAUAACGUAGGGAAACUUACGCUAAUACCGCAUACGACCUACGGGUGAAAGCAGGGGAUCUUCGGACCUUGCGCGAUUGAAUGAGCCGAUGUCGGAUUAGCUAGUUGGCGGGGUAAAGGCCCACCAAGGCGACGAUCCGUAGCUGGUCUGAGAGGAUGAUCAGCCACACUGGAACUGAGACACGGUCCAGACUCCUACGGGAGGCAGCAGUGGGGAAUAUUGGACAAUGGGCGCAAGCCUGAUCCAGCCAUACCGCGUGGGUGAAGAAGGCCUUCGGGUUGUAAAGCCCUUUUGUUGGGAAAGAAAAGCAGCAGGUUAAUACCCCGCUGUUCUGACGGUACCCAAGGAAUAAGCACCGGCUAACUUCGUG